GGACCGGUCGUCUAGUUUGGUUUGGAUGACGCACUCACACUGCGUAAGAGAGUAUUCUCCGCAAAGGUCGUGGGUUCAAAUCCCAUCCGGUCCA
rfam:Marine Group I thaumarchaeote SCGC AAA799-P11 AAA799P11_36, whole genome shotgun sequence.